GCAUCGUCGUACCGUGAGUAAU
rnacentral:miRNA from 1 species